UUCCCUACGGGGGCAGCAGUAGGGAAUUUUCGUCAAUGGGCGCAAGCCUGAACGAGCAAUGCCGCGUGAACGAGGAAGGUCUUCGGAUCGUAAAGUUCUGUUGAAGGGGAAAAAGAGCGGAGAGAGGAAAUGGUCUCCGAUUGAUAUUACCCUUCGAGGAAGUCACGGCUAACUACGUGCCAGCAGCCGCGGUAAUACGUAGGAUCCGAGCGUUAUCCGGAUUUAUUGGGUUUAAAGGGAGCGUAGAUGGGUUGUUAAGUCAGUUGUGAAAGUUUGCGGCUCAACCGUAAAAUUGCAAUUGAUAC
rnacentral:rRNA from 1 species